AACACUGUUAACCUGCGGUACCUGCGGAAGGAUCAUUACCGAGUUUACAACUCCCAAACCCCUGUGAACAUACCACUUGUUGCCUCGGCGGAUCAGCCCGCUCCCGGUAAAACGGGACGGCCCGCCAGAGGACCCCUAAACUCUGUUCCUAUAUGUAACUUCUGAGUAAAACCAUAAAUAAAUCAAAACUUUUAGCAACGGAUCU
rnacentral:misc_RNA from 1 species